rnacentral:rRNA from 1 species
AUGCGGCAGCUUCGGCUCAUCACCAACAUGAGGGCUCAUAAUGACACGUGGUUUGCCGAUUACUUGCUAAGGGUCGGCAAUGGCACUGAGGAUGUCGACGAUCAAGGCAACAUAGUACUCCCUGAAGAUAUUUGUCUGCCGUCUAUAGGCGAGGUUGACGACCUAGAGAAGCUUAUUGACCACGUAUUUCCGGGUCUAGACGACAACAUGGCUGAUUCGAAUUACAUGACAUCUCGAGCAAUCCUUUCCACAACAAACGACAAUGUAGACAAGAUAAACAUCCGCAUGAUUGAG